rnacentral:rRNA from 1 species
GCCAGCAGCUAUAUCACCCUGCAGAUCUCAACUGGCAGCCCACUGAAGCUCAGCAGCGUUGAGCCUGGUCAGUACCUGGAUGGGAGACCUCCUGGGAAGCUAUGGUUGCUGCUGGAA